rnacentral:rRNA from 1 species
UACGAGGGGGGCGAGCGUUGUUCGGAAUUAUUGGGCGUAAAGGGUGCGUAGGCGGUUUGGUAAGUCUGAUGUGAAAUCUAUGGGCUCAACUCAUAGUCUGCAUCGGAAACUGCCGGGCUUGAGUGUGGGAGAGGUGAGUGGAAUUCCUGGUGUAGCGGUGAAAUGCGUAGAUAUCUGGAGGAACACCGGUGGCGAAGGCGGCAUCCUGGACCGAUAUUGACGCUGAGGAGCGAAAGCCAGGGGAGCAAACGGG